CAGCCGCCGCGGGAAUACGUAGGUGGCAAGCGUUGUCCGGAAUUAUUGGGCGUAAAGGGCUCGCAGGCGGUUUCUUAAGUCUGAUGUGAAAGCCCCCGGCUCAACCGGGGAGGGUCAUUGGAAACUGGGAAACUUGAGUGCAGAAGAGGAGAGUGGAAUUCCACGUGUAGCGGUGAAAUGCGUAGAGAUGUGGAGGAACACCAGUGGCGAAGGCGACUCUCUGGUCUGUAACUGACGUUGAGGAGCGAAAGCGUGGGGAGCAAACAGGAUUAGAGACCCCUGUAGUCCCUGUCUCUUAUAC
rnacentral:rRNA from 1 species